UCCCUGGUAGUCCAGUGGUUAGGACUUCGCACUUCUACUGCUGGGGCCCGGUUUCAAUCCCUGGUCGGGGAA